UGGAAGAAUUAAGAGGAAUGGGGAUAGAAAAUCUUACAAUUAAAACUGCUGCAUAAUGGAUUGAACCAUCAUAGAAUAUACAAUACAUUAAUGAGAUAAUUAAGAAAAGUAGGUCUGUUUAAUAGGAUUUAGAGGUUAAAGAGAAGGUUUUUUUUUUCUUACAUCACUGUUCCACACUCCAGCCCAGUAGGUGGUGGUAAUGCACCUAUCGUUUGUUUGCAAACCACCAUAAAACACCAAAAGAAGAAGAUGGUGUAGUUACUGCAUCUACCAGCAGAGGUGAAGCUUCCCAUGUCCCCUGUCCUUAAACAGAUUACACCAUGAUCCAGGAAGUUGCAUCAAUUUGGAGGGAAAACAGCACAAACAUCACAAGUUUCUGCAAUGAACUGGAGUUCGGCAAUCAAGCGUUUAUUUGGGCCACUCAACCAUCAGGAAUGAGAAUGUCAAAAUGAAAGAAAGUGACAAUAAAGCCAUGAUGUUUCCUGCUGAGACUUCCGAGGCCUUGACUGAUAAAGCUCAAUCAUUCAUGCAAUCCGUGGACCAAAAUACAGCAAGCUCUCCAAAACAACAACAUCACUUAUUCAACGGCUUCCAUUCCUGGGUUAGAUAUCAAAAUUCUGACAACUCAGAAGAUCACUUUUCAAAGCUAGCAGCUUCUGUGUUAGAUCAGCCCAGAUGUCAUUUUACCUGCAGCUUUUGGGCCAGCAUGAACCCAUCGACACUGCUUGUGUUCGCUUUGUUACCUGCACACCUUUUCAGAUGGAGCGGAAAAUAAAUGUGAGCUACACAGACAAAUGGACAAACUGUUAUUGUGCACCAGCAAAGAGAGACGAAUAAAGCGAGUAUAGGCAACAGACUCUGUAAAUCAGAGAAUGAUGGCCAAUCAUUUUCUCAAAGCUCUUUUCAAUGGAACGGCAAUGAACCUUUUUGGAGAAUCAUUAUGGUCGGUUAGCUGUUUUCUAUUUGGAAAAGUCACUAACACUUUUCAUUGUCACAAGAGAAGCUAUGAGACGAGAAGCUAAAGAUAUUUAGAACUCUAUGUGUGAAAGUUUACUGCAGUGAAGAGUUUUGUUUCUCUCCCUGAAGAGUCUGGUGCACUCCUAAUCGUUUGAUACAGUGCAGGUUGGAGUGUGAAGGGAGACAAACCUUACGAGGUGAUUUAUCUGUAUGGAUCGGCUGUCAAAGAGAUAAAUCGAGGGAGGCAUUGGGUGGAAACAUCACAUAGAGCAUUGUAUGUACCAGGCCUGGUUCUGGCAUCUGGAUAUAUUACACUGUAAUUUUUACAACCAGAACAACGGGCUCUGCUUUUGUAAACUGAGAGGUCAAAGUUAAAAACCUAAAAUGUAACACAAUGUCAUUUGUAUUUUAAUAGAAAUUGUUUCUAGUGUUUCCUUUUUGUACAGCAGUAUUGUUAUUAACUAAAACUAUUAAAAUAAUUUUCAGUAAUUGAAUUAAAGCUGAAAUAAGAUCAAAUAUAAAUAGA